CGAAAGUCUGACGGAGCAACGCCGCGUGAGUGAAGAAGGUUUUCGGAUCGUAAAGCUCUGUCUUCAGGGACGAAUGUGCUUAAUGUGAAUAAUGUUAAGUAAUGACGGUACCUGAGGAGGAAGCCACGGCUAACUACGUGCCAGCAGCCGCGGUAAUACGUAGGUGGCAAGCGUUGUCCGGAAUUAUUGGGCGUAAAGCGCGCGCAGGCGGGAAUGUAAGUCUGUCUUAAAAGUUCGGGGCUCAACCCCGUGAUGGGAUGGAAACUACAUUUCUUGAGUGCAGGAGAGGAAAGUGGAAUUCCUAGUGUAGCGGUGAAAUGCGUAGAUAUUAGGAGGAACACCAGUGGCGAAGGCGACUUUCUGGACUGUGUCUGACGCUGAGGCGCGAAAGCCAGGGGAGUGAACGGGAUUAGAUACCCCGGUAAUCCUGGCCGUAAACGAUGGGUACUAGGUGUAGGAGGUAUCGACCCCUUCUGUGCCGGAGUUAACGCAAUAAGUACCCCGCCUGGGGAGUA
rnacentral:rRNA from 1 species